rnacentral:rRNA from 1 species
UACGGGGGGAGCAAGCGUUGUUCGGAUUUAUUGGGCGUAAAGGGCGCGUAGGCGGUCGUGACAAGUCACUUGUGAAAUCUCCGGGCUUAACUCGGAACGGUCAAGUGAUACUGUCGGACUAGAGUACAGAAGGGGCAACUGGAAUUCUCGGUGUAGCGGUGAAAUGCGUAGAUAUCGAGAGGAACACCUGCGGCGAAGGCGGCUCACUGGACCGGUACUGACGCUGAGACGCGAAAGCCAGGGGAGCAAACGGG